rfam:Bacillus pasteurii osmotically regulated ectoine biosynthesis gene cluster, complete sequence.
UACAAGCUGCAUUGUUCGUAUCAUUAUUAAGUUUUAACCUUUAAGCUGUAAAAGGGAGUUUUAUGAUUGAAACUGAAAUGGCAAGCCUCGUUCUUUUAAUUAACAACGAGGACAGACAGGCAAGUUUCUGCGAACACCCACUUUGAGGAGUGGUGGUUUAAGACUUUCUAGAGACGUACGGCAGAGGCGGCUGAUAC